GACGAACGCUGGCGGCGUGCCUAAUACAUGCAAGUAGAACGCUGAAGGAGGAGCUUGCUUCUCUGGAUGAGUUGCGAACGGGUGAGUAACGCGUAGGUAACCUGCCUGGUAGCGGGGGAUAACUCUUGGAAACGAUAGCUAAUACCGCAUAAUAGUAGAUGUUGCAUGACAUUUGCUUAAAAGGUGCAAUUGCAUCACUACCAGAUGGACCUGCGUUGUAUUAGCAAGUUGGUGGGGUAACGGCUCACCAAGGCGACGAUACAUAGCCGACCUGAGAGGGGGGUCGGCCACACUGGGACUGAGACACGGCCCAGACUCCUACGGGAGGCAGCAGUAGGGAAUCUUCGGCAAUGGACGGAAGUCUGACCGAGCAACGCCGCGUGAGUGAAGAAGGUUUUCGGAUCGUAAAGCUCUGUUGUAAGAGAAGAACGAGUGUGAGAGUGGAAAGUUCACACUGUGACGGUAUCUUACCAGAAAGGGACGGCUAACUACGUG
rnacentral:rRNA from 1 species